UUUUAUUAUUCUGUGUCAUGAUGCUUCCGUUAUUAGCCUUUUAUCGUCUUGUUUAUAUUUUUUGGGCCGGCAUGAUGCCGGCUUUUUUUUA
rnacentral:antisense_RNA from 1 species